rnacentral:rRNA from 1 species
UUAGAGUUUGAUCCUGGCUCAGAGUGAACGCUGGCGGUGUGCUUAACACAUGCAAGUCGAACGAGAACGGUACUAGCUUGCUAGUAUGUCAGCUAAGUGGCGGACGGGUGAGUAAUGUAUAGUUAAUUUGCCCCUUAAGAGGGAUAACUACUGGAAACGGUAGCUAAUACCUCAUACUCCUUCUACCUUAAUGGUAGUUGGGAAAUGUUUUUUCGCUAAGGGAUGAGACUAUAUGGUAUCAGGUAGUUGGUGGGGUAAGAGCCCACCAAGCCUAUGACGCCUAGCUGGUCUGAGAGGAUGAUCAGCACACUGGAACUGAACACGGUCCAGACUCCUACGGGAGGCAGCGAGUGGGGAAUAUUGCGCAAUGGAGGAAACUCUGAUGCAGCAACGCCGCGUGGAGGAUGACACAUUUCGGUGCGUAAACUCCUUUUAUAUGGGAAGAUAAUGACGGUACCAUAUGAAUAAGCACCGGCUAACUCCGUGCCAGCAGCCGCGG